rnacentral:rRNA from 1 species
GUCUAUGGCCAUACCACCCUGAAUGCAUCAGAUCUUGUCUGAUCUCAGAAGCUAAGCCGGGUCAGGCCUGGUUAGUACUUAGAUGGGAGACCGCCUGGGAAUACUGGGUGCUGUAGACU